UGUAUUAUGGCUCAGGACGAACGCUGGCGGCACGCCUAACACAUGCAAGUCGAACGGUGAAGGUGGAGCUUGCUCCACCGGAACAGUGGCGGACGGGUGAGUAACACGUGAGCAACCUGCCUUUCGGAGGGGGACAACAGUUGGAAACGACUGCUAAUACCGCAUAAAGUAACGAAACCGCAUGAUUUUGUUACCAAAGGAGGAAUCCGCCGAAAGAUGGGCUCGCGUCUGAUUAGAUAGUUGGUGAGGUAACGGCUCACCAAGUCGACGAUCAGUAGCCGGACUGAGAGGUUGAACGGCCACAUUGGGACUGAGACACGGCCCAGACUCCUACGGGAGGCAGCAGUGGGGGAUAUUGGACAAUGGGGGAAACCCUGAUCCAGCGAUGCCGCGUGAGGGAAGAAGGUUUUCGGAUUGUAAACCUCUGUGGAGGGGGACGAUAAUGACGGUACCCCUUUAGGAAGCCACGGCUAACUACGUGCCAGCAGCCGCGGUAAUACGUAGGUGGCGAGCGUUGUCCGGAAUUACUGGGUGUAAAGGGAGUGUAGGCGGGAAAGCAAGUCAGAAGUGAAAACUAUGGGCUCAACCCAUAGCCUGCUUUUGAAACUGUUAUUCUUGAGUGAAGCAGAGGCAAGCGGAAUUCCUAGUGUAGCGGUGAAAUGCGUAGAUAUUAGGAGGAACACCAGUGGCGAAGGCGGCUUGCUGGGCUUUUACUGACGCUGAGGCUCGAAAGCGUGGGGAGCAAACAGGAUUAGAUACCCUGGUAGUCCACGCCGUAAACGAUGAUAACUAGGUGUGGGGAGCGAACCUUUCCGUGCCGGAGUAAACACAAUAAGUUAUCCACCUGGGGAGUACGGCCGCAAGGCUGCAACUCAAAGGAAUUGACGGA
rnacentral:rRNA from 1 species